AUUGCUGUUUUAAAUAUAUAAAAUGCUUACACUUUUUGAAAAACGAUGAAUUUUUCCCAUAAUCAAAGAGUUAAGUGUUGAUUACCAAUUGACAAAAUAGAUGAAAUAACUUAGGUAUACAAAAUGAAAUCACCCACAAACAAGCAAGAAAAUAGAUUCUAGAGCCAAGUAAUAAAAAAAUCAGAAAACCAAACCCAACAAUCAAAUAAAAAAAAUGGAUAAUUACCAAUAAAAACUCAUACUUGUAAUGAGUUUUGACUAUACCUACACCCAAAAUUGGUAGCUAGACCAAGAGUAGAGAGGGAUAUUGAAGUGUAAUUGCAGACUUAUUAAAACUUGAGAAGGGGCUAUGGAGGACCUGUGAUUUAAGAGACUAAAGAUUUUUUGUCAAAAGGAGAGAUUGAAAAUAGGGAAUAAGGAACGUUUAUAAAUAAAAAGAAUAAUGUAUAAUUAAAAUUUUACAAAUUGUAUAAGUAAAAAAUUGGAAUGCAAAAAUUUUAAACCAUCUAAAACCACCGAUUUGGUUGUUCGAAAAUAUGUGAUAAAAUCAUGGUUAAGAAACCAUCACUUUAUAAUCUAAAACUACCAUUCUCCAGGAACAAUCUUCACAAACAAGUAGCAUUACCAUACCAUACUUUAUGAAUCCAUGUGAAACUAUAUCAUAUGAUAAUACAAUACAUAUGACACUGCACUCAAUCCAAGCGGGUGAAGAGCAAACUCUCUGUCAAAACAAAGAAUCCGAUUGAAACCAUCCUAAUUGAUAAGUUAAGCUACCAAACAUUCAAAAGAUAAAGAUAAAAGCACAUCUACAUUCCUCCAUGACAAUAGCAUUUACUUCGUAUCAGCCAAAUAUCCACACAUGUAUACGCAGAGACAAUCAGUGCGUAUACAACUUUAAAACAUAAAUGCAGAAUUCAUUUACGAUGCAUUACCUGACCUUGUGUAAAUUGGACAA
rnacentral:misc_RNA from 1 species